ACUCCUACGGGAGGCAGCAGUGGGGAAUAUUGCACAAUGGGCGCAAGCCUGAUGCAGCGACGCCGCGUGGGAUGGACGGCCUCGGGCUUGGUAAACCUCUUUCAGUACCGACGAAGCGCAAGUGACGGUAGGUACAGAAGAAGCACCGGCCAACUACGUGCCAGCAGCCGCGGUAAUACGUAGGGUGCGAGCGUUGUCCGGAAUUACUGGGCGUAAAGAGCUCGUAGGUGGUUUGUCGCGUUGUCCGUGAAAUCCCACGGCUUAACUGUGGGCGUGCGGCGAUACGGGCAGACUGGAGUACUGCAGGGAGGACUGGAAUUCCUGGUGUAGCGGUGGAAUGCGCAGAUAUCAGGAGGAACACCGGUGGCGAAGGCGGUCUCUGGCAGUAACUGACGCUGAGGAGCGAAAGCGUGGGGAGCG
rnacentral:rRNA from 1 species